rnacentral:misc_RNA from 1 species
AUUUAAUGCCGCCGAAUGGAAACAGGACAGAAGGUAGGGAAAUUUUCUAAAGAAAUCAUCUGAGUUGAGAUGAGUGAUACCCAAAGAAGCAAGGAAAUCUUGAAAAAGGGACAAGAUUUCACUUUGGGGGAAGACUUGUUUCAGACAAAUGUAAUUAUGGGGAGAGGACGACUCGGGACUCGAGGUAGCACCAGAAGGGGUCUGAUUAGAGCUCGUCCCAGGCAACAGAUUUACCAAGGCAGGUAGGUGGGUUGUCAUGUAUUGGUAUAGUGGUGACAAAUGUAGUAUUGGUUUUGCUGGGUUUAGAGAUGGUGACAUCAAAGGUGGUAUUGGAAUUGCUGGGGUUGGUAAAGGAAGCAUGACUCUCUAUCAUGAGAGUCUCUUGCUGCACACAAUUUUUGCUCAACUGACCUAUAAUUCCAAAGGAAUAACAAUAAUCAAGUAACCUUAUGAAACGGAAGUGAACUAGAUAAAGAGAUCCAUCUGGUUUUCUGUUUUGAAACCCAGUAGGCAAGGG